rnacentral:rRNA from 1 species
GACGAACGCUGGCGGCGUGCUUAACACAUGCAAGUCGAGCGGUAAGGCCCUUCGGGGUACACGAGCGGCGAACGGGUGAGUAACACGUGGGUGACCUGCCUCUAGCUCUGGGAUAAGCCUGGGAAACUGGGUCUAAUACCGGAUAUGACUCCACGGCGCAUGUUGUGGGGUGGAAAGCCUUGUGUGGCUAGAGAUGGGCCCGCGGCCUAUCAGCUUGUUGGUGGGGUGAUGGCCACCAAGGCGACGACGGUAGCCGGCCUGAGAGGGCGACCGGCCACACUGGGACUGAGACACGGCCCAGACUCCUACGGGAGGCAGCAGGUGGGGAAUCUUGCGCAAUGGGCGAAAGCCUGACGCAGCGACGCCGCGUGAGGGAUGACGGCCUGGUU